AACGAACGCUGGCGGCAUGCCUAACACAUGCAAGUCGAACGAGACCUUCGGGUCUAGUGGCGCACGGGUGCGUAACGCGUGGGAACCUGCCCUUAGGCUCGGAAUAACUCCCCGAAGGGGGUGCUAAUACCGGAUAAUGUCUUCGGACCAAAGAUUUAUCGCCUUUGGAUGGGCCCGCGUUGGAUUAGCUAGUUGGUAGGGUAAAAGCCUACCAAGGCGACGAUCCAUAGCUGGUCUGAGAGGAUGAUCAGCCACACUGGGACUGAGACACGGCCCAGACUCCUACGGGAGGCAGCAGUGGGGAAUAUUGGACAAUGGGCGAAAGCCUGAUCCAGCAAUGCCGCGUGAGUGAUGAAGGCCUUAGGGUUGUAAAGCUCUUUUACCCGGGAUGAUAAUGACAGUACCGGGAGAAUAAGCUCCGGCUAACUCCGUG
rnacentral:rRNA from 1 species